GCCCCCUUAGCUCAACUGGGAGAGCAGCGGACUCUUAAUCCGUAGGUUGCAGGUUCGAGUCCUGCAGGGGGCA
rnacentral:tRNA from 1 species